CUCGGGUGCACGUAUGUAUAAAGAAUAUGCUCAUAAGUUGGCGUACCUAAUUGGACAAAGUAUUCAGCGUAAUGUUGCAGAUUCCUUAUCGAUGAAACUGUUUUAUUUAUAAACGUUAAAAAAAAAAUUGUUUAAACUAUGUCAUGUGGCUGACAUUUCGUACAAUAAAUCAUAAAAUAUA
rnacentral:sRNA from 15 species